CAGUGCUGUAGUAAUUUUAAAAUAUACAAAAUUAAUAUACCACAAAAAUACAAAAAUGUAACAAAGGCUAUAUUCGGUAUAUUUAUAUAGUAUAAUAUUCAAAAUAUGCCAUGGGUAGCGCGUAUAAAAACUAAAGCACAAUUGAAGCUAAACAAUUUUGAUGAUGCAAGCAGAAAGUUAACACAGAGUAAAAUAAACAAUACAAUGAAUGCCUAAAUCAGCUUAACAAGCUUACAGCAAAAGUGACCAUGGAGGUGUUGAAGCCAGUUGCCAAGUAAAUAUAGAAAAAACGUAUACACGAAAGCAAGCGAAAGGAAUGUGAUAAAUGCGAUGAGUAUAUACAAAGAAUAUGUUGCUGAUUUUGUUGAUUUUGGCAACUGAUUGACAAACAGUCGAAUAAAAAUCAAAACUCAUGCCACGUUGGCCACGCAUCUUAUAAAACAUUCACCAUGCGAAUCAGCACUCAUUAGACUUACACUCACUCAUGUGAAUUCAUUUUCAUAUUCACAUUCAUAUUCGUAUUCGCAUU